UACGAGUGCCUCGAGCGUUAUCCGGAAUCACUGGGCGUAAAGGGUGUGUAGGCGGCUGUGUUAGUCUUCUGUGAAAUUCUUCGGCUUAACCGGGGGUCCGCAGGGGAUACGGCAUAGCUUAUGAGGAUGUGAGAGGUUUGCGGAACUCUAGGUGUAGGGGUGAAAUCCGUUGAUAUCUAGGGGAACACCAAAAGCGAAGGCAGCAAACUGGCGCAUUCCUGACGCUGAAACACGAAAGCGUGGGGAGCGAAUGGG
rnacentral:rRNA from 1 species